rnacentral:lncRNA from 1 species
UGGCCCUGUAAUGAUGUUCCCUCCAAUGCCUGAAAGGGUACUCAAGGGAGUUUUUAAGCUCCAUUUCUGAGGCCAGAAGACAUGCGAGAUGACUGUGACAUCAGCACCUGUGUCCAUCGUCCCUUGGAUUGAGAUCGUCUUGCUGUUAUAUGUCAAGUUGCAGGUGAUUACAGGUCUAUCAUGACUUAUCUGCUCCACCCAGGUAAUCACAGUGUUCAUUGCCUUUGCUGCUGCUGGCUCUGCAGACCCGACGCCUUUCCGGCACCCUGGUUUUUCAUGAAGAGGCAUCUGACAAAUAUUACAGAGACACAACCUGAGCAGCCUUUCUUGCCACUGCUGCACUUGUCAGCAAUUUUGUGUCCAUAGAACAGAAACCAAAGAAAUAAUAUAAUUCUGCCAGUUAGGGAAGUGGCCUAUGGUUAAACUAAUUACAGCAAUUUUUUUUAAAGCUGCCUCAAGCUUAAAUGCUUCAUGAUACAAU